GACACACACACAGGUAAACUCCUCAGCGCUGUGUGAUGUCACACACCACCGCAACCAAUGAGACAGUGUCAGCACACAGAGGCAGCUCCGUGAAGACCUCUUCCUCUUGAGAGAGUUAUGAUUGAGGCUGCUACAAUGAAGCGAAAAGUAAAUGUCUGUGUAACAUCAAGAAGCCCGUAGUGAUGGGGGUGAUGAAGCUGGAGAGUGCUACUGUUCAUACUCCGUAUUGGCUGCUUUACGGUGGCCUUUAUCCCUACCAAGAUGACCACCAUCUGUAUGUCUAUGACCGCGCAGAGCCAUUGUGUUACUAUGUUGGAGCACCACAGUGGGACAUAGGCUUGUUCCACAUAGCUCAGGGAGAUCCUGUGUUUACCGUUAUCCAUCCUGCUACAGAACCGCUGGUACCACCUGCAUCCUGCACACAUACAGUCACUGGCUGGAGACCUGUAUGCUGUGCACAAGCUCCACUCCAUGCUGAAAGUCUGUGUAUGCAUAACUGUGAGUACAGCUGUACAAUUGACAUUACUGCUGAAUAAAGCACCCCACUGGCUAA